rnacentral:rRNA from 1 species
UAGCAAAUCUCUUAAAGCCGUUCUCAGUUCGGAUUGUAGGCUGCAACUCGCCUACAUGAAGUCGGAAUCGCUAGUAAUCGCGGAUCAGCAUGCCGCGGUGAAUACGUUCCCGGGGCCUUGUACACACCGCCCGUCACACCAUGAGAGUCGAUAACACCCGAAGCCUGUGAGCUAACCGCAAGGAGGCAGCAGUCGAAGGUGGGGUUGAUGAUUGGGGUGAAGUCGUAACAAGGUACC